CUCUCUCUCUCUCUCUCUCUUUCUCCCCUGCGAAACCCUCUUUUGCUUCAGCCUGUUUGAAAGCUACAAAGAACCAGCCCUGCAAGUAGCAGCAACCAGCAAGACAACAAGCAACAUUCUCUCUCUCUCUCUCUCCUGCUCUUCUCAAAAAACCAGCCCUGCGAGCAUCAAUGACCGGCAAGCUGAACGAGGCAAGCCUCUCUAUCUCCAUCACAAGGGCAACGAGACAACGAUUGGAGGGUGUUCCUCUAUCUCUCUCCAGAUAGCACAACAAAGGCCCUAACAAUGUCAUCUGAUUCUAUAAGUAAUCGAGGAUAUACAACUCGACGAUGCCCAAGGUGCAGUAUAGAUUGUGCUAAGAUGGCAUUAAGAAGCCAAAAUAACCGGAACAGGCUGUACUAUAGAUAUCUCAUAUGUGGUUUUUCCAAUGGUGUGAUGAAUAUAUUGUUGCCGUGAAAAAUGUCAAUUUAAGAUAUCGCAAUACACGACAGUGGAAUCCAGUACAAGAAUCAGAAGAACGUGUCAUGCUCAAUCAAGAAACAAGUGUUGGGUAUGAUGCAAUACUCGUUGCCAUAGGGUGCAUGCAUCAAUUUUUACUCGGUGCCUUUGGGCGUUUGCAACAAUUUUUGUAUUUUUUGUGUAUAAUAAAUGUGGCUUGCUUG